CCUAGUAAGCACAAGUCAUCAGCUUGUGCUGAUUACGUCCCUGCCCUUUGUACACACCGCCCGUCGCUACUACCGAUUGAAUGGCUUAGUGAGACCCUCGGAUCGACGUUCAUCGGCUGUAAAAGGCCUUUGUCUGUUGAAAAGUUGGUCAAACUUGGUCAUUUAGAGGAAGUAAAAGUCGUAACAAGGUUUCCGUAGGUGAACCUGCGGAAGGAUCAUUAUUGUACUUAAGGUCACCAAUUUUUCAGAAAGAUUGGUGAUCAUCAGUACAUUUGUUAUUGAUCCUAUUUUAAAUAGGAGCAAAAAGUAUAUUUAAAACCCCCACACUUUUAAAAAUUAUUAUGUAUAUUUUACUGUAAGUAAAUUAUAAGAUCACUUUCAACAACGGAUCUCUUGGCUCUCGCAUCGAUGAAGAACGUAGCGAAGUGCGAUAAGUAGUGUGAAUUGCAGAAUUCCGUGGAUCAUCGAAUUUUUGAACGCAAAUUGCACUCUCUGGUAUUCCGGAGAGUAUGCCUGUUUGAGGGUCAUUAAAAUCAAAAUCGAUUUUGUUUACCUUGCCGUAACAAGUCGGAAUUGGGCUAUCUUAAACCUUCGGGUUCAAGAGGCUUAAAAUUGAUCGUUUUUGGUACGAGUUAAGCGUAUUUAAGAUCUCUUAUCACGCGCUUGAUGAGUAUCGGAUGUUUAUUAGGCAUGACCAUGUAUGGCUUCGCGCCUAUAAUUUUUUCAUGAAAUGACCUCAAAUCAGGUAAGAAUACCCGCUGAACUUAAGCAUAUCAAUAAGCGGAGGAAAAGAAAAUAACAAUGAUUCCCCUAGUAACGGCGAGCGAAGAGGGAAUAGCUCAAAUUUUAAAUCUGUUGGGUUUUACCUAACCGAGUUGUAAUUUGAAGAAACGUUUUCAGCGUGUUUGAUUUAGCCCAAAUCCUUUGGGAUAAGGUAUCAUGGAGGGUGAGAAUCCCGUCCGGCCUAAUCAAAUGUGCUUUACGAUACAUUUUCUAAGAGUCGAGUUGUUUGGGAUUGCAGCUCAAAAUGGGAGGUAAAUUUCUCCUAAGGCUAAAUACAGGCGAGAGACCGAUAGCGAACAAGUACCGUGAGGGAAAGAUGAAAAGAACUUUGAAAAGAGAGUUAAACAGUACGUGAAAUUGUUGAAAGGGAAACGAUUAAAGUCAGUCGUACUAACGGGGAAUCAGCCUUUUGAGGGUGGACUUGUGUGAUUCAGAGUGCCUCUGUCUUUCACAACCUGCUUUUUUUGGGUGUACUUUCUCGUAUUGUAGGUCAACAUCGGUUUCAACCGUUAUAAAAUGACUGGAGGAAUGUAGCUUCGAUCUCGUAUUGAAGUGUUAUAGCCUUUGGUAGAUGUAACGGAUGGGAUCGAGGAUUGCAAUGAAUACCCUUAUGGGCUAUCCGCCUGGCCUCUGACAUGUCGCUAUGGUGCUGAAAGCGUGCUUAUGGUAUUAUAGUGUACGGUCAAAAGGUUAGAACGGAUUAAAUUUGUUAAGGAUGUUGACGUAAUGGCUUUAAACGACCCGUCUUGAACACGGACCAAGGAG
rnacentral:rRNA from 1 species